UCCUAUCGACUAUCUCCUUCCUCCUUCCCUUACUCUCACCGUCGACAGCCCCUUCCCUCAGUCGCUCCUGCCAAUCCACCGACAACUUCUUUCCUUACUCACUUCCUAUGGACAGAUAGCCCCCUCUCUCACUCUAACUCACUUGAGCUCUCUCUCCCCCUUCUCCUCUCUCUCUCUCUCUCGCUCUCUCUCUCACUCCUCUUUCUCUCUUGGGUUUUGAUUGCUUCUCUCCUUAACUCUCUAAAUAUAUUAAAAGAGUGUGCUUCCAAAAAAUGUGUAAAACUAGGAAAGCUCUUGAAAUAUAGAAAAAGACUUGGAGAUGUAGUAGAAAUGAAGAAGGAGUCCUCUAGUGGGCAUAGUUUUAAUCUUAAUCCGAACCCAAACCUGAACCUCAACGCCAUUACUAAAUCUAAGACCUGCAGCUCUGUUAAGGUAACAUGACAAAAGCUCAAACCUUCUUCAACUUUUAUAAUUUGAGUAAUGUAAUAAUGAUCAAAUGGGUAGUUUAGCCUGUUCAUUGUCUGAAAGCAAUUUGGAGUUGUCAAAUUACUCUACCUUUCUUUGUAUAAGUAAUGAGAGUUGAAAAUGUUAAAAGUUAGAAAAUCAUGACUUUUUUUCUGGGUGCAUUUAGGAAUCUCUACUUGCAUAAGCUGUACUUGAGAAUGAGUUUAAUAACCUUUGUCUCUAGGAGAAUGGAACUUUCUCUAUACUAUCAAUUCAACCUUUUUGUUAUUAUUGAUUAAGAAUUGCUUCUUGAUAUAUACCGUUAGUAAGCUUCGUCAAAGCAUCUAGGAAUAGGAUUCAAGGGUCUGGGAGUAAUGCUUGAGCCUUGAGAUGGGACGAGAUGCCUAGUGUGGUAAUAAUGAGAAGAUCAGUCCUAUGAGAUAUUCAAGUGAAUGCAAAUUCCUUCAAGUUGAUAUAUAGCAAUCAUCAGUGCUAUUUGGUAGUUCCUUUUUAUCUUAUAUAUUUGCAUGAACAGUGAGAUGCUUACGCUGCUUUUCCUCAUUUUUAUGGUAAAUCAAAAGGCAACUUUAGAAAAUGCAAAAUCUGAACCCUUACACCUAAUAAGAGCAUCUGAUUUGUGAGCUAGAGAAUAUUUCAGAUGCGAUGGAUGCCUCUGCCCCGUUGUUAAUGUCUAAUAUAUGUAUCUUAAUGAAUUAGUUGCUUAUCCAGUUGUUUUAAAGCUAAAGAUGCUAUUAAGAUGAUGGAGAGAUGUAGACAGCAGUUUUGAGAAAAGAUAUGUUGUUGUUUUACUUGUAAUGAUUUUUAUGGUCUUUGUGUACCCUUGAUGCAGUUGUAUUUCUUAGCAAUAACUCAUCUAUUAUAGUGGAUAUGCUACCAUGAUCUUA